AACGAACGCUGGCGGCAUGCCUAACACAUGCAAGUCGAACGAGACCUUCGGGUCUAGUGGCGCACGGGUGCGUAACGCGUGGGAACCUGCCCUUAGGUUCGGAAUAACUCCCCGAAAGGGGUGCUAAUACCGGAUAAUGUCUUCGGACCAAAGAUUUAUCGCCUUUGGAUGGGCCCGCGUUUGAUUAGCUAGUUGGUAGGGUAAAAGCCUACCAAGGCGACGAUCAAUAGCUGGUCUGAGAGGAUGAUCAGCCACACUGGGACUGAGACACGGCCCAGACUCCUACGGGAGGCAGCAGUGGGGAAUAUUGGACAAUGGGCGAAAGCCUGAUCCAGCAAUGCCGCGUGAGUGAUGAAGGCCUUAGGGUUGUAAAGCUCUUUUACCCGGGAUGAUAAUGACAGUACCGGGAGAAUAAGCCCCGGCUAACUCCGUG
rnacentral:rRNA from 1 species